UGUAGCGGCCAUAGGGGCGGGGAAACACCCGUUCCCUUUCCGAACACGGAAGUUAAGCCCGCCCACGGAGCCCCCAGUACUCCGUUGAAGCGGGGGAAAGGGCUCUGCCGCUACAC
rnacentral:rRNA from 1 species